UCCUCUGCAGGAGAGAGAGAGAGAGAGAGGGAGAGAGUUUCGAAGGAAGCAAAGCGCUGGGUUGGUUUCGUAUAUUGCAACUAGAGGAGGCAUCCAAAGGGAUCGCAUUGAUCCCAGCUAGCUAUUUCUUUCCAUCAUUUGGUUUGGAUCAUGCUAUCCCUUUGGAUUUCUCCUUUGGAAGCUUCAAACUUAUAGCUAUAUAGCAUGCAUCAAUGACUAUUUACAGGUUCAAGGAGUUCAGCCAAACUAGACAAUUUCUUGCCUUGAGUGAGACAUAAGUUUCUGGAUUAAGAAACUGAUGGUAAGUUUUGAUUCUUCUGUUCAUGAAUCAUGAUUAGCAUAAAAGUGGAAGCUAUCGAGGUGAUGUCUUGGGUUACAAUUUACCCUAAUCUCUGAAACUUUUGAUCGUUGCAGUACCUACUUCCAACAUUUGACUUCACCUUUCUGUAAAGAUGGAGAUGGGGUCCAAAGUGGGAGAAGAAGAAUUUGUUUGGGGGCACCAGAGAGUGUGCGUGAGUGUCGUGUGUGUACAAAUUAUCUUGAGUUGUAAGAUAUGUACCCCAACUGUCUCCCUCUUGCACUACACAAAGCUUUAUCAAGGACACACAAAGUGCCAAAACAAAACCCCCACACACUUGAAGAUUUUUCAAUCCAUCGGAAGGAAUUGGAUGUUGCUUUGCUGAGGCAACUACCAAAGGGACCCAAAAACCCUUGACUUGCCUCCAAAUUCAAACCCCUCCACUCCUAUUUCUUCUCAACUUUCCUCCUUUUAAUAUUUACACUUUGUGGGACUCGAUUUUCAGCCAUGUAUUGGGGAUCUUGAGGAUUUUUUUUCUUCUUUGUGCCUCAAUAUUUGGGGGAUUUGAUUGAGAUGUGUUUAUAAAGUUGAACACUAACCUUAAGUUGUUAUCAAAGCUACCCCAUUUUCUAUAUGAAAAAAGAAUGGAAGUAUUAUCUUGU